UUCAACCGGCAAUUGAGGGGUCGACACAGUCAUCGCACGGGCGUUAUAAAAGGCAUGACUUGAUACUUUAAUAAAAUCGGCAGGACUUAUACCCAUAACAUUGGGCCCCUGAGCACGUUCCAUGUCGCUGCAAUACAAUUGCCAAAUAUCUGUCUGUAAAACAUAAUCAUCAGAACUUGGUUCAAAGCAACACCUCAUCCAUUUUACAGACCGU